CGAAAGCCUGACGGAGCAAGACCGCGUGAGGGAGGAGGGCCCUUGGGUUGUAAACCUCUUUUGUCAGGGAAGAAGAAAGUGACGGUACCUGACGAAUCAGCCUCGGCUAACUCCGUGCCAGCAGCCGCGGUAAUACGGAGGAGGCAAGCGUUAUCCGGAAUCAUUGGGCGUAAAGCGUCCGCAGGUGGCCGUUCAAGUCUGCUGUCAAAGCACAGGGCUUAACCCUGUUAAGGCGGUGGAAACUGAAAGGCUAGAGUGCGGUAGGGGUAGAGGGAAUUCCCGGUGUAGCGGUGAAAUGCGUAGAGAUCGGGAAGAACAUCGGUGGCGAAAGCGCUCUACUGGACCGCAACUGACACUCAGGGACGAAAGCUAGGGGAGCG
rnacentral:rRNA from 1 species